rnacentral:rRNA from 1 species
GUGCCAGCCGCCGCGGUAAUUCCAGCUCCAAUAGCGUAUAUUAAAGUUGUUGUGGUUAAAAAGCUCGUAGUUGAACCUUGGGCCUGGCUGGCCGGUCCGCCUCACCGCGUGCACUGGUCCGGCCGGGCCUUUCCCUCUGUGGAACCCCAUACCCUUCACUGGGCGUGGCGGGGAAACAGGACAUUUACUUUGAAAGAAUUAGAGUGCUCCAGGCAGGCCUAUGCUCGAAUACAUUAGCAUGGAAUAAUAAAAUAGGACGCGCGGUUCUAUUUUGUUGGUUUAUAGGACCGCCGUAAUGAUUAAUAGGGACAGUCGGGGGCAUCAGUAUUCAACUGUCAGAGGUGAAAUUCUUGGAUCAGUUGAAGACUAACUACUGCGAAAGCAUUUGCCAAGGAUGUUUUCAUUAAUCAGGAACGAAAGUUAGGGGAUCGAAGACGAUCAGAUACCGUCGUAGUCUUAACCAUAAACUAUGCCGACUAGGGAUCGGACGGUGUUAUUCAUGACCCGUUCGGCACCUUACGAGAAAUCAAAGUGCUUGGGCUCCAGGGGGAGUAUGGUCGCAAGGCUGAAACUUAAAGAAAUUGACGGAAGGGCACCACCAGGGGUGGAGCCUGCGGCUUAAUUUGACUCAACACGGGGAAACUCACCAGGUCCAGACACAAUAAGGAUUGACAGAUUGAGAGCUCUUUCUUGAUUUUGUGGGUGGUGGUGCAUGGCCGUUCUUAGUUGGUGGGGUGACUUGUCUGCUUAAUUGCGAUAACGAACGAGACCUUAACCUGCUAAAUAGCCCGCAUGCUCCGGCAGUGCGCUGGCUUCUUAGAGGGACUUUCGGCUCAAGCCGAAGGAAGUUUGAGGCA